rnacentral:rRNA from 1 species
AAUCAACGCUGGCGGCGUGCCUCAGACAUGCAAGUCGAACGAUUAAAGCUCCCUUCGGGGAGUGCAUAGAGUGGCGCACGGGUGAGUAACACGUAAGUAAUCUACCCUCGAGUGGGGAAUAACGUCCGGAAACGGACGCUAAUACCGCAUAAUGCAGCGGCACCGCAAGGUGACAGUUGUUAAAGAUUUAUCGCUUGAGGAGGAGCUUGCGGCAGAUUAGCUUGUUGGUAAGGUAAUGGCUUACCAAGGCUACGAUCUGUAACCGGUCUAAGAGGACGGUCGGUCACACUGACACUGAAUAACGGGUCAGACUCCUACGGGAGGCAGCAGUCGGGAAUUUGGGCAAUGGGCGAAAGCCUGACCCAGCAACGCCGCGUGAAGGAUGAAGUAUUUCGGUAUGUAAACUUCGAAAGAAUGGGAAGAAUCAAUGACGGUACCAUUUAUAAGGUCCGGCUAACUACGUGCCAGCAGCCGCGGUAAUACGUAGGGACCAAGCGUUGUUCGGAUUUAC